rnacentral:piRNA from 1 species
UCCUAAUUGUGUGCACAUGUUGUGGAGUU